rnacentral:rRNA from 1 species
GGGGUGACUGCGUGCCUUUUGCAUAAUGAUCCUACGAGUCCCUCCCGUUGGCGAGGUUAAGGGCUUGAGGCCCGGAGCCGGAGCGAAAGCGAGUCCUAACAGGGCGCGAAGUCAGGGAGAGGGGACGCGAAACCAAGUGAUCUACCCUUGUCCAGGAUGAAGGUCCGGUAAGACGGACUGGAGGUCCCAACCAAUAAGCGUUGAAAAGCUUCUGGAUGAGGUGAGGGUAGGAGUGAAAGGCCAAUCAAACUUGGAGAUAGCUCGUACUCCCCGAAAUGCCUUUAGGGGCAGCGUCGGGACAGUAACGUGUAGGUAGAGCGACUGGUUGGAUGCGAGGGCUUCACCGCCUAUCAAGUCCUGUCAAACUCCGAAUGACACGCUAUGAUUCCCGGCAGUGAGGGCGCGGGUGCUAAGGUCCGUGUCCGAGAGGAGAACAAUCCAGACCGCCAGCCAAGGCCCCGAAAGGGCAGUUAAGUUGGACUAACGAAGUGCGGCCGCAGAGACAGCUAGGAUGUUGGCUCGGAAGCAGCCAUUCAUUCAAAGAGUGCGUAACAGCUCACUAGUCGAGCGGCCGUGCGUGGAUAAUAAGCGGGCAUGAAACUGUCUGCCGAAGCUGCGGAUUUAUGGUAGGGGAGCAUUCCACCGGCGUCGAAGGCGGGCCGCGAGGCCUACUGGAGCCUGUGGAAAAGCAAAUGUAGGAAUGAGUAACGACAAGGGGGGCGGGAGGCCCCCCCGCCGAAAGACCAAGGGUUCCUGAUCAACGCUAGUCGGAUCAGGGUUAGUCUGGAGCUAAGGAUAAGGCGAAAGCCGAAGCCGAUGACGAUGCGGUUAAUAUUCCGCAACCCGCUGUAUGGGCGAUGUGGCGACGAAGCGAGCAAGGCUGUGCCCGGUGACGGAUAUCCGGGUAUAAGGCGGAAGGCGACGAAGGGUGCAGGCAAAUCCACACCCGAGCCGGAACCCGAAAGUACGGCGACCCUCCGGGGGAGCCGAUAUCAGCCGGAAGCGCUUCCAAGAAAACCCGCUAAGCUUAACCAUGCGGCGGCCAGUACCGCAAACCGACACAGGUGGUCCGGUAAGAGAAUACCGAGGCGUAUGGGAGAUUCACGGUUAAGGAACUAGGCAAAUUGACCCCGUAACUUCGGGAUAAGGGGAGCCCUCCUCCGGGAGGGCCGCAGAGAAAAGGCUCAGGCGACUGUUUAACAAAAACACAGGGCUAUGCUAAAUCGAAAGAUGAGAUAUAUGGCCUGACACCUGCCCGGUGCUGGAAGGUCAAGGGGAGAAGUCACGCGCAAGCUGCAGCUUCGAGCCGAAGCCCCAGUAAACGGCGGCCGUAACUAUAACGGUCCUAAGGUAGCGAAAUUCCUUGUCGGGUAAGUUCCGACCUGCACGAAUGGUGU